rnacentral:rRNA from 1 species
GAUGAAUGCUGGCGGCGUGCCUAACACAUGCAAGUCGAGCGGCAGCGCGAGUAGUUUACUACUUGGCGGCGAGCGGCGGACGGCUGAGUAACGCGUGGGAACAUGCCCCAAAGUGAGGAAUAACUGCCCGAAAGGGUAGCUAAUGCCGCAUAUGAUCUUCGGAUUAAAGGAUUUAUCCGCUUUGGGAGUGGCCUGCGUACGAUUAGAUAGUUGGUGAGGUAAAGGCUCACCAAGUCUACGAUCGUUAACUGGUCUGAGAGGAUGAUCAGUCAGACUGGAACUGAGACACGGUCCAGACUCCUACGGGAGGCAGCAGUGAGGAAUCUUCCACAAUGGGCGAAAGCCUGAUGGAGCAACGCCGCGUGCAGGAUGAAGGCCUUCGGGUCGUAAACUGCUUUUAUAAGUGAAGAAUAUGACGGUAACUUAUGAAUAAGCACCGGCUAACUACGUG